rnacentral:pre_miRNA from 1 species
ACAGGAAAAUGACCUAUGAAUUGACAGACAGUAUGGUUGAGUAUGUCUGUCAUUCUGUAGGCCAAUAUUCUGU